UAGCCGUAAACGAUACUCGCUAGGUGUCGGCCACGGUGCGACCGUUGUCGGUGCCGUAGGGAAGCCGUGAAGCGAGCCACCUGGGAAGUACGGCCGCAAGGCUGAAACUUAAGGAAUUGGCGGGGGAGCACCACAACGAGUGGAGCUUGCGGUUUAAUUUGGAUUCAACGCCGGAAAUCUUACCGGGACCGACAGCAAUAUGUAGGUCAAGCUAAAGACUUUACCAGAAUCGCUGAGAGGAGGUGCAUGGCGUAGUCGUGU
rnacentral:rRNA from 1 species